rnacentral:rRNA from 1 species
AGAGUUUGAUCCUGGCUCAGAAUGAACGUUGGCGGCGUGGAUUAGGCAUGCAAGUCGAGGGAGAACCCGCAAGGGGGACACCGGCGAACGGGGUAGGAUCACGUAGGUGACGUACCCCCAGGGCGAGGAUAGCCACGGGAAACUGUGGGUAAUACUCGAUAACCUUCCCGAUCAUGAUCGAAUGGGAAGCAAUGGGUGUGAUUCCACCUGGGGAGACCGGCUUACGCAGUAUCAGCUAGUUGGUGAGGUAACGGCUCACCAAGGCUUUGACGCUUAGGGGGUGUGAAAACCUGCCCCCCCCCUGGCACUGAGACACUGGCCGACCCUACGGGUGGCUGCAGUCGAGAAUCUUCGGCAAUGGACGAAAGUCUGACCGAGCGACGCCGCGUGCGGGAUGAAGGUCUUCGGAUUGUAAACCGCUGUCAGAGGGGAUGAUGUA